rnacentral:rRNA from 1 species
CCUACGGGGGGCAGCAGUGGGGAAUCUUGCGCAAUGGGCGAAAGCCUGACGCAGCGACGCCGCGUGAGUGAUGAAGGCCUUCGGGUUGUAAAGCUCUGUGGAGGGAGACGAAUAAGGGUUGGCUAACAUCCAGCUCGAUGACGGUAUCCCUUUAGCAAGCACCGGCUAACUCUGUGCCAGCAGCCGCGGUAAGACAGAGGGUGCAAACGUUGUUCGGAGUGACUGGGCGUAAAUCGGGAGGUCGCUGGUCAAAGCCCUGGGCUCAACCUAGGAAGUGCAUUCGAAACUGCCGAGCUGGAGUGCUGGAGAGGAAGGCGGAAUUCUCGGUGUAGAGGUGAAAUUCGUAGAUAUCGAGAGGAACACCGGUGGCGAAGGCGGCCUUCUGGACAGCUACUGACGCUGAGACGCGAAAGCGUGGGGAGCAAACAGGAUUAGAUACCCUUGUAGUC